UCUCCUCUGCCCACAAGCAUGCAGUUGCAUUUAUCCCCCUGCUUCACACAGACUCAUCAAGCCUCCCCAGGGAGUUUUUAAGCUGCAAGGUGCUCAGUGUUGUGACAAGCUGUGGGUCCUCAAAGCUGAGUACUGAAGGCUGAUUUCUGCUUCUGUUUUCAAGCCUUUCUGGACCCACUGAGGGAAGACAUUUUGUUGCUUGAAUUCAGAGGAGAAAGACAAGGGUGUUCCAGUGGCCAGCAUCCUCCAUCCUCCU